GGACGCGCUUUCGUGUGUUAAGAUCGUGCGCGUCCUGCCGCCGCCGCCGUCGACGCCGCGUUCUUGAACGUUCCGGUGGCCUACAAGUAUCCGGCCUCCAAGGCCGGCGAGGCCAAUCAAACUGCCCCACAUCUGGAAGCGACCCGACCCGGUUUCCCCUUCCUCCACCGGCUGGUUCACGCGCUCGACGACGGGGAGCGUCUGUCUAGGAACAAGAUGGAAGAGAGCAGAAUAGCUCGAAUUUCCGUCACCUGGAGGGGCAGACAGCUGAUGUGGAUGCAGAUCCAAGCUGCACGGUGAAAGAAUUUGGGCAACUGCUGCAGGAUUUGACUAGUGUUAAGCCUGAUACUCCCUCCAUUCUCUAUUGAUAGUCCUAUUUCACCUUGACACAAUGACCAAGGAAAAGCAAUCUUACUUAUCAUCUAAUUAAUGUAACACAAGGCUUUUUGCUAGUCCUCCAAUGUCUUUGCUAGAAACUCCUCGUUACUGGUGCUAUUUAUUGCCAUGGUCCUUAUCAAUAGCAAAUAGGAUUAUCAUUUGUGAAGUUUUGAGUUUUGAAAAUAGGACUAUCAAAAGAGAAUGGAGGGAGUACAUAGAAGCUAAUUGUGCCACAAUCUGCAAACAAAGGCUCCAAGUUGGUCACACCAUUUUCGGAUCCACAUUCAAGCCUGACACUGAAUGAAGCGGCUAUUAGUGAGGGAAAACCUAUUAGAAUGAUGGGUGUUUUUGAUGAUGAAAUCGAGGAAGUAUCUGACAAUGGCAAAAGGCCAGAUCUACGUAUAAUUGGAUUUGAUGAGGAAGAACAGCGGCUUAGACAACGGUCACCAGGCAGGCCACAGAUUUCACUCAAACUUCCCCAGGGACAAUACAUCUUCUGUGAUUUUCGUACACUUCACUUGCCUGGGAUUGAGCUGAAUCCUCCACCUUCGGAAGCCCUGAAAAGAAUGCACAUGCUUGCAUGUGACCCUGGUAUAAUUGCGAUCAUGAACAAGAAUAAAUGGCGAGUUGGAAUCAUGACUGAAAUGGCUCCUGUCGGAUAUGUAGGAGUCAGUCCGAAAUGCAUUUUAGGCUUCAAUAAGAACAUGGGGGAGGAAAUAUCUCUUCGCCUACGAACAGAUGACUUGAAGGGAUUCUGGAAGUAUGAAAGUAUCAAGAAGACUCUAAUUCAUGAACUUGCGCAUAUGGUGCACUCUGAGCACGAUGCAAACUUUUUUGCUCUUAAUAAGCAGUUAAAUGAGGAAGCUGCUUUGUUGGACUAGACCAAGUCUAGAGGUCAUAUGUUGAAUGGUCGCAAAGUCUUUGAUUCUUAUGAAGAUGAAUUUGUUCUGGAACCAGCUAUAACUGUUGCUGGUCACAGGCUUGGGGGAGAGUUAAAGUUCACUGGCUAGUGCUCGUGCAUUGUCCGGUGCUGCUGGUUAUCAGCGUUUCUUAAAAUGCAUCUGCAACGGAAGACCAUGUAUCAGGCACUGAAACUGAAUAUAAUCCAGUUGAUGUUCCUCGAGAUUUUGUUCAGGGAACUGUGAAGGUAGAGCCCGAUCCAGAUGAUGCUAUGCAUAUUGAUUCAGCAAUGAGUUCUAGAUCAGAAGCAGGACAAAAUACUAUUGGCUACUCUGAGCCUAAUGAUGUUGGCAAGCAAAGUUCUUUUGGUUGCCUAGAACCUGAUCCUGAUGACUCCCAAAAUGUUAAUAUUCUGAAUCAGGAGCUGAGGUUUGAUGGAGGACACCAUAGCGAACCUGAUCCUGAUUAUGGUGCUAAUGGAUGCGUUCUGGAAUCUGGAAACAAGAUGGAAGUGGAUAGUGAACUGACAAACAACAUCACAGUUUUUAAGUCUGAGCCUGACCCUGAUGAUUCCUUAAAUACUGUUGUCAACCAGAAGUUGGUCAUCGAUGGGAAGCAUGGUGAAGAACCUGAUCCUGAUGAAACUACCUGUCUAAUUGUUCCAAAAUCUGGAGAUGAGACACAAGUGAUAACAGAGCAGAGUAGAAACUCCACAGUUUUGAAUUCGGAACCUGAUCCUGACGAUCAUUUUGGUGAUUUAAACAGCAAUGAGCUGCAAAGGAUUGAAGAACCCGUGGCAGCCCUCUGUGCACGACUCCAGAAGUCCAUUGAAAUGCUCCGGUUGCAAGCAACACCUACAGAGGCAGAUUCUGCUAUUCAAACACUUUUUAGGAUUAUCAAGAAUGUGAUAGAGCACCCAAACUAUAUUAAGUAUAAGAGAUUGCGUAAGUCCAAUCCACAUUUCCAAAGGAGUGUAGCAAACUAUAAAGCUGCAAUGGAGGUCCUUGAAUUGAUCGGCUUCUGUGAGGAUGUCGUCUCAGAUGAGAUUGGGCGUGCAGAGACUUACCUGGUGUUGAAAAGGAACGAUCCUGGAUUGUUAUGGCUGGCAAAGUCCUCACUUGAAGUAUCCCUGGCUUGAUAAAAGUUGAUACCCAUGGUUGUUAUUUUCUCUGUGGAUAUAUUGAGCAAGAAAAUUAGCUAUUCGAAUGUACUGUUUUCCUGUAUAGGUAUAAUUGUAUACUUGUAUAUGAACGCCCAAGAAUGGAAUUCUGCGUGCACAACUUUCUUUUCUUAUCUAUGCCUUGUCUUGAAUGGUUUGCAAUCC